AGCCUUGUCUCAUAGCCACGAAUGACUUGCCUACUCGUUCUGGUGAAGUGGGUAUUCUGAUAUAAGAUUACCUUUAAAGGUCUUGUCAGCUCCCAUGCAGGCAAGCCAGUCUUGGCUAACUUGACAGGCCCU
rnacentral:pre_miRNA from 1 species